rnacentral:rRNA from 1 species
GAUGAACGCUGGCGGCGUGCCUAAUACAUGCAAGUCGAGCGAACAGAUGAGGAGCUUGCUCCUCUGACGUUAGCGGCGGACGGGUGAGUAACACGUGGAUAACCUACCUAUAAGACUGGGAUAACUACGGGAAACCGGAGCUAAUACCGGAUAAUAUAUUGAACCGCAUGGUUCCAUAGUGAAAGACGGUUUUGCUGUCACUUAUAGAUGGAUCCGCGCCGCAUUCGCUAGUUGGUAAGGUAACGGCUUACCAAGGCAACGAUGCGUAGCCGACCUGAGAGGGUGAUCGGCCACACUGGAACUGAGACACGGUCCAGACUCCUACGGGAGGCAGCAGUAGGGAAUCCUCCGCAAUGGGCGAAAGCCUGACGGAGCAACGCCGCGUGAGUGAUGAAGGUCUUCGGAUCGUAAAACUCUGUUAUUAGGGAAGAACAAAUGUGUAAGUAACUAUGCACGUCUUGACGGUACCUAAUCAGAAAGCCACGGCUAACUACGUG